AACGCACAUUGCACCCUCUGGUAUUCCGGAGGGUAUGCCUGUUUGAGUGUCAUUAAUAUGUCAACACAGGCAAGUUUUUCAUGACUUGCUCUGCUGUUUGGAUGUUGAAGGCUUGCUGGCGUUGAUUUAUUCUGUCAGCUCCUUUUAAAUUCAUUAGCAGGAACCUUGCGGGACUGGCUUCAGUUUGAUAAGAUUGAACUGUUGCUAGAAUGCCCCUAUUGUUGUUCCAGCUUCUAAUUGUCUGGUAAAACUGGACUGUCUCGUUAGAGACAUUUAUCUUUGACAACUUGGCCUCAAAUCAGGUAGGAUUACCCGCUGAACUUAA
rnacentral:misc_RNA from 1 species